ACACAUGCCAGUCGAGCGGAGAUGAGGUGCUUGCACCUUAUCUUAGCGGCGGACGGGUGAGUAAUGCUUAGGAAUCUGCCUAUUAGUGGGGGACAACAUUUCGAAAGGAAUGCUAAUACCGCAUACGCCCUACGGGGGAAAGCAGGGGAUCUUCGGACCUUGCGCUAAUAGAUGAGCCUAAGUCGGAUUAGCUAGUUGGUGGGGUAAAGGCCUACCAAGGCGACGAUCUGUAGCGGGUCUGAGAGGAUGAUCCGCCACACUGGGACUGAGACACGGCCCAGACUCCUACGGGAGGCAGCAGUGGGGAAUAUUGGACAAUGGGGGGAACCCUGAUCCAGCCAUGCCGCGUGUGUGAAGAAGGCCUUUUGGUUGUAAAGCACUUUAAGCGAGGAGGAGGAGCUCUAGAUUAAUACUCUAGAUGCUUGGACGUUACUCGCAGAAUAAGCACCGGCUAACUCUGUGCCAGCAGCCGCGGUAAUACAGAGGGUGCAAGCGUUAAUCGGAUUUACUGGGCGUAAAGCGUGCGUAGGUGGUCUUUUAAGUCGGAUGUGAAAUCCCUGAGCUUAACUUAGGAAUUGCAUUCGAUACUGGGAGACUAGAGUAUGGGAGAGGAUGGUAGAAUUCCAGGUGUAGCGGUGAAAUGCGUAGAGAUCUGGAGGAAUACCGAUGGCGAAGGCAGCCAUCUGGCCUAAUACUGACACUGAGGUACGAAAGCAUGGGGAGCAAACAGGAUUAGAUACCCUGGUAGUCCAUG
rnacentral:rRNA from 1 species